UAAGGUGCACGAAGGUGGAGC
rnacentral:misc_RNA from 1 species